rnacentral:rRNA from 1 species
ACUCAGAUCACGUAAAUUUUUAAUAGUCGAACAGACUAAAUCAUUAUAGCUCCUUCACCAUAAAUUUAAUUUAAUUCAACAUCGAGGUCACAAACUUAAUUUUUAAUAAGAACUCAUAAAUUAAAUAAUGCUGUUAUCCCUAGAGUAAUUUCUUUACUUAAACAUAAAAUCAUAAAAAUUAUUAUCUUCAUUAAAUUACCCCAAUUAAAAAUAUAUAUAUAUAUAUUUAAAACUUCUAGGGUCUUCUCGUCCCAAGAAUUAAUAAAAGCCUUUUUACUUUUAAAUUAAAUUCAAAUUUAUUAUAAAAAACUUUCCUUUAAGUAUCUACCCUUCAUUCCAGUCUCCAAUUAAAAAA